rnacentral:tRNA from 1 species
GGGCGGUUAGCUCAGUCAGUUAGAGCAUGGUGCUGAUAACACCAAAGUCGCGGGUUCGAUCCCUGUUUGGUCCC